UACAGAGGGUGCAAGCGUUACUCGGAAUUACUGGGCGUAAAGGGCGCGUAGGUGGUUAGUUAAGUUAGGUGUGAAAGCCCUGGGCUUAACCUGGGAAUUGCGCCUAAUACUGUUUAGCUAGAGUACUGUAGAGGAAGGUGGAAUUUCCGGUGUAGCGGUGAAAUGCGUAGAUAUCGGAAGGAACAUCAGUGGCGAAGGCGCUCUGCUGGACCAUAACUGACACUCAGGGACGAAAGCGAGGGGAGCGAAUGGG
rnacentral:rRNA from 1 species